AGUUACAAAGUGGUGCUUUUCUUUGUUCCAAAGGUGGGCUGAGUGCUUCAUUUUAAGCUAAGUAGAUCUCCAAGAGCACAGAGAGCUCGUCCCCAGGGUCCCGCAGCACCUUCAGGCAAGUACAAUUAGGCAAAGACCUCGGAAAACCCCUGGAGGGUUUCAAAACUUACCCCCUCCCUCAGACUCCAACCUGCUAAUCUAAUGCUAAUCUUUGCUCAGAAACUACAGGUAUUUUAACACCAACUAAUUAGGUUUGCUAGUUCUCCGGGCGUAGGCCGGGUCUUUCCUAAAGCUUGAUGUGUGUGUUAUUAGCUAAGUGGGUCUAUAUACUCCCGAAAGCUCGCCUGACCCUUUUCCAUGACACAGAAGUCAAUGAAUGGAUUGAUAAGACCACAAAGGAGACAGGGGGCAUUUGUGCGCAGUGAUUUCUCCUUUAAAGAAAUGAUUAACUGACAGAGUCUAUUGAAUGCCAAAAUCUAACAUCAGAUUUUAUUCUUAAACCAAUGCAGUUUAAUACAGUGGUUAUAAGAUAAACAUUUUUAUUAGUCCACAGAGAAUUCCUGGGGAAACUUGGCAUAAGCUCAAGAUUCAAACAAAGAUCAUGAUUCUCAAUUAAUUUCUGUGUCUCUGAGUCUGUCUGUCUGUCUCCCCCCUCCUUACCUCUUCUUUGCUCCAUCUUUCCUGCUUCUCUUCUUCUCUCUCCAUCUAUCUGCUUAGGCAUGUAAGUGCCCUCUACCUCAGGCCUUUUAAUGUCUGUGUUUGGAGAAGUUCAGUUCUUGUGCACUCUACAAAAUUCCUGCAUCCUAAUCAAUGAUGCUCCUGCUUCCUUUACUCCUCGUCCCCUCCCUCCCUCCCUUCCUUUCUUUCUUUCAAUUUUUUUUAAAUAGUCACAUUUAUAUUUUAUUGUUUAUAUUUUAUUGAACACUAUAAAUAUAGAGAAACGCUAACAUAUGUAGGAGGAUGUAAAUUAGUAGCAUGCAAACAUGCCACUUCAUAUAAAGGCUUGAGUUGCCAAGGAUUUUAGCAGCCAACCAGCUUUAGGGGUAGCUUCAGAGAUCCCCCAUGAGCCGGGCAGUGGUGGUGCACGCCUUUAAUCCCAGCACUUGGGAGGCAGAGACAGGCAGAUUUCUGAGUUCGAGGCCAGCCUGGUCUACAAAGUGAGUUCCAGGACAGCCAAGACUAUACAGAGAAACCCUGUCUCGAAAAACCAAAAAAAAAAAAAAAAAAAGAAAUCCCCCAUGAAUGCUGAUGGAUACUCAGGGUACUCUGGAGAAUGAGAAAGAUUACAACAUUGCCGACAUUGCCGACAUUGCCUCCCACAGCUAUGGAGUUGAAGUCCACAAACCUGCAAGUUGGAAAUGUGGGAGAAUGAGGGUUUAGUUCCAGGUGGAAUGUGCGUGGGCCUGAGGACCAGGACAGCAGGUGUUCCAAGUUCCAGUCUGAGUCCGCUGUGGUUUGCCCCCCAAGUUCGUGUGCUAGAAGCUUGGUUCUCGUUGUGGUGCGACCUUUAACGCUGCUUAGUACUACACAGGGUCAGGCAUUAAGCCCUUGGACGGAUCAGUGCUGGUCCUGAAGAGCAGGUGAGUUUUCCAAGAGUGGGUGCUUAGGAAGCGAGGCUACACAACAAGGUUGAUCUCUUGUGAUCAUAAAGUGAUUCCUUGGCUGCUUCUCCUCUGGGUUGUUUCAGCCACAGAUGCCGUCCGAAGCUGAUGCUGGUGACAGUCACUUGAAUCUUUAAAGUGGACUGAAUGAAGCUCUUUCUCCGUCAGUCAAUCGUGGAAGGGGUGUGGCCUCGUCUUGGCGCAGCCACAAGGUCAGCUCUGUCCGAGAUGUAGGUGUGGGCUUCCCACAAGCGUCCUGGGGUGGAGGUGAGGUGAGGUGAGGUAGGAGGGAGGCACGGCUCCCGCAGCGGCCUCUUUCAAUUUUGUUUUUUGCUUUUUACCACCUUGUUCAACAAAGCUGUGGCUAUCCUAAAACUCACUAUACAGCUGAAGCUGACCUUAAGCCCUUAAUCCUCCUGCCUCAGCUUCCAAGUACUGGUAUGGCCUCACAAUUCACCCCCCCCCCCAAACACACACGGGCACGCACGUGCACACACACACACAACACACCCAUGGUUCUUUUCCUGCCCCACCAGCAGAGCUGAAUCUUCGCCCCUCUUCUCCAGCCUCAAGCACAAAGCAGCCCCACAAGUCUCUGAGAAGAGGAACAACUUUGCUAACUGUUGGGGCUUUUGUGUUUGUCUGUAUAUUUUUGGUGUUCCUGGACAUGGAUCCUGAGGCUCUUGAGUGUUAAAUCCCACCUAGCUAUAUUCCCCUCCAAGGCCUCCAUUUUAUUGGUCUUUAUCUCCUUUAAACCUGAUUUACCUUGGUUUGUUUUUUGCUUUCUUGUCUGCUUUUUGAGAAAGUGUCUCACUCUGUAGAGUGAGCUGGUCUUGUGUUUUCAAGGGUCCACCUUGCCUCAGCCCA
rnacentral:lncRNA from 1 species